rnacentral:lncRNA from 1 species
AAGCGGACAAAAAUUUUAUACUAUCUAUAAUAAGAUCAAUAUCUCGGAUCGAAAAUUCUAAUGCUACAUCAUAACUUUUUGUGAUAUUUUUAUUUUUAGCUGUUAAUUUUUAGCCCUUUCAAUUACUAGUUAUGAUAUUAAAAAAUCAUAAAAUUUAUUUUCUCGAUAUUUCAAAUAUACUAGAUCAAAUCUAACGGAGCCGAUCUUCAAUUCGACAGUUCCAUCAUCGGAAAAGGUAUAGGAGCAGGAGACCAUCGUGCUCCUAAUAGUAAACUAGUCCUACUCUAUAUACACCCCACUUGUCACCUUUUUGAAAUGUGAAAAAUGAAAAGAGGAUAAUAUAUAUGGUUAUUAAGUCUUUUAAUUAAAUCCACAUCAACAUGUUAUUCAAUUUUUGAGUAAAAUGUACAUUUAUCGCGCGAUCGCAGUGACAUUGCAAUUUAUUUCCUAAUCACCUUUCAUUUUUAUACUAUUCUAUAGAUAUAUAUAUAUAUGCUCAUUAUAUUCCUAAGUCUAAUAUUCAAAAGAUCAAUCUAAUAGAAAAUUGGUUCAGAAAUAUAUAGUAAUAUAUCCACUCACUCACGUGCAUAAUAUAUGAAUAUAAAAAGUGCAUAAAAUUGAUAGAUGAAUAUUUAAACUUAUUAAAUAUCAAAAGUGGGGAUUAAAUCUACAACCUCACAUAAUGAAUGAGUCU